rnacentral:precursor_RNA from 1 species
UACCCUGAGCAACAAUGCAACCAUGUUCGGGAUGCAGUUUUUCCCUCAAAAUAGAAAAUGUUGCUUCAGGAUUGGGUUGCAUUCCUCAGCAAC